UACGAAGGGGGCUAGCGUUGUUCGGAUUUACUGGGCGUAAAGCGCACGUAGGCGGAUCGAUCAGUCAGGGGUGAAAUCCCAGGGCUCAACCCUGGAACUGCCUUUGAUACUGUCGAUCUGGAGUAUGGAAGAAGUGAGUGGAAUUCCGAGUGUAGAGGUGAAAUUCGUAGAUAUUCGGAGGAACACCAGUGGCGAAGGCGGGUCUCUGGGCCGUUACUGACGCUGAGGCGCGAAAGCGUGGGGAGCAAACAGG
rnacentral:rRNA from 1 species